rnacentral:rRNA from 1 species
CUACGGGCCGCUGCAGUGGGGAAUAUUGCACAAUGGGCGCAAGCCUGAUGCAGCCAUGCCGCGUGUAUGAAGAAGGCCUUCGGGUUGUAAAGUACUUUCAGCGGGGAGGAAGGGAGUAAAGUUAAUACCUUUGCUCAUUGACGUUACCCGCAGAAGAAGCACCGGCUAACUCCGUGCCAGCAGCCGCGGUAAUAGCGGAGGGUGCAAGCGUUAAUCGGAAUUACUGGGCGUAAAGCGCACGCAGGCGGUUUGUUAAGUCAGAUGUGAAAUCCCCGGGCUCAACCUGGGAACUGCAUCUGAUACUGGCAAGCUUGAGUCUCGUAGAGGGGGGUAGAAUUCCAGGUGUAGCGGUGAAAUGCGUAGAGAUCUGGAGGAAUACCGGUGGCGAAGGCGGCCCCCUGGACGAAGACUGACGCUCAGGUGCGAAAGCGUGGGGAGCAAACAGGAUUAGAUACCCUGGUAGUC